GUUCGGGGUAGUAUUGUACAUCUAACAGUUAAUAUAUCCGGUCACUGCACAUAGUAUGCUUAAAUAAUUCUGCUUUCCUUUACCUGUGGAGUGCAUUUAACAUGUCUUUACAAUUUACAUCCAGGUUUGUUUAAAGCUGCGCUGUUAUUCCCACCUGAAAAAUGAGUUUUUAAUACAGCUAGAAUCUUUAUGAAAUUCUCAUUAUGGCUGUGUUGUUUUUUCACUGAAA